GGUGAUCUACCCGCCUUGGCCUCCCAAAGUGCUGAGAUUAUAGGUGUGAGCCCAGCCUAGAUAAAGACUUUUAGAUUAAAAUUUUACUGUGUGCUGACAGAUCUCUUAAAGUUCUAUAUUCAGAAGAAACUCAUAAGCCAUCAGAGGAAGACAGAUGCCCGCCUCAAGUGCAAAUAAAUGGGCAGGGAAGGCCAGGAGGAUUCUGGGAGGAUUUGUGAAGGCUGGUGGAGCUGUACUACUGACUGUAUCCUCAGGGCCUAGACAGUUCUGGCACAUGAUAGGUACUCAGUAUUUGUUCAACGGAGUGGAAGGAUCCGAGCUGUGGGUUAAUAAGUAAAAUUUAAUAAACCUUUCCACUGUCUACAUACUCAACGCCUCCCCUAUUCCUAACACCUGAGAGUUUUGGAAUUUGGAACCACAAUGUACACGGGAGAUAGGGUAAGUCAGGUUAAGAAGGAUGUGUUUAUGUAGGUGUGUAUUUCUGUACGCUUGUUGUACUUGUAUACAGAUUAAUUCUAAGGUGUUCAAUGUGGUCUUGCUUCCUUUCCACGAUGGCAGGAAUCACAGCUGUCCUGUUCUUCACUGUCUCCUAGCAGUGUCUGAGAAGUUGGUAAGGGAUUCAUAUUCUUUAUUGAUUGAAUGAGUGAAGCAACACAAAUAAGAGUAAUGCUGUAGAACUGGUGUUGAAGCUGACUAAUCUCCAAAGCAUUUCCACAGACUUCAGUAUAAACAGACUGCGCAAUUCAUUCUGUCUGCAAUCAUUUUAAUACGUUCUGAUCCAGAGCAUCCCACAGCUGCUUUACUCUUUUUUUCUCUACCAACUGGAAACUUGGUUCAUCAUCCUUGUAGCAUUUAAAGGUACAAACAAUAUGGACAUUUCAUAAUACCAGAUGCGGGGAGCCACCAAGCCACACUCAUUUGGAGAAGACUACACUAAUGCUCUUUUCAAACAGAAUUACCAGCCUUCCAGAAACUCCUUGCCAUCUUGAAUAACUGAAGGCAUAAAGUGGCAGCUGUCAGUUCCACCCUCCUGCAACACAUCCACAGGCCAAACGAUCAGGCCACAUGGUGAGGAGUUACUUUAGCUGAGAAAACAUGGGCUCAUUCCUUUAGCAGCUACGUGGUUCUGUUUAAGGGAGAGGCACAAAUGUAUGUGCAUGAGAAUAAAUGCAACCUCUCAUGCUGGAGAAGCAGCAGAGGCAUUUUUAUAUGUUGCCAAUUCUGUGUGUGGUUGGUGUUUCUGAGGGCACACCAGAAAAUAUGAGUUCUAAUGGCAGAAAAUAAUUUUUUUUUCAGACAGGGUUUCACUAUGUUACCCAGGCCAGUCUUAAAUUCCUGCUCUUAAGCAAUCCUCCAUCUUUGCAUCCCAAAGUGUUGGGAUUACAGGUGUGAGCCACCACACCCAACCAGGAAAAGAACUUUUUAGAAUAAGACAGCAAUAGUAUUACAAAUGUUCUAAGAGUCAGGUGUAUGCAGUUGAAUUUGGCUAAUCAAGAGCUUUAGAAAAUUUGCAAUAUGGCUUAAUGAAAAAAAUAUUUCACUUCCUAGUAUUAGUAGCUUUAGUUCCAAUUAGCCUGUGACCUCAAGGUUUUAUAUUUCAGAGAGUUAGGGGGUUCGAUAGGAUCAGUGUUUCUCCCUGGGGUGUAUAUCACAAUCACUUAGGAAGUUAGAAAAAAAAGAAACCAGAUGCCUGGACCCUGCCAAGAACUAUACAUUUUGAAUCACUGAAAGUGACACCUGGGCAUAUAGGUAUAUUUAUUUAAAUUUUGUCAGUGUUUCUUUGGAGCCAGACCAAUCCAGUGCCUCUCAGAUUUUAAUGUACCUAUGAAUCAUCUGAAACUCUUGUUAAAAUGUAGAUUCUAACCCAGUAGGUCUGAAAUGGGGCCUAAGUUGCUUCACUUCCGACAAGCUCUCAGGCAAAAGAUGCUGCUGUUCCAUAGCUCACACACUGAGUAGAGUUCUCCAGCUCAAAUCGUUUGGCAUUCCAUUAAGGACAUAGAAAUUCUCAUCCAUAACUAGAAUGUAUCACAUACUUAGUACUUAAAUUGCAAGUUACUGCCUUUGCUUUUGUCUUUGAAGAUCAAGGUGGAGACUUCUAUUGUGUGUGAUGUAAAAAGAGUAUCUUAAUGCCAAAACGUCUCACAUCAAGGAUGUAGAAGGUCACAUUUUCCCAUACACUCUACCAAGACAUCCUGAGAAACUCUGAGAGAAGCCCAUGGAGGGUCCACAUGAACAGCUUCCAGCACUGCUUUGACCUACCCAUCUACUAGCAUCACCGAAAGAGGAUAGUUCUUUUUAGAAUGAGAAGUGUUCUAGAAUCAAUGAAGCUCCCUAACCCAGAAGAUGUUUGGUUUCUUCCUCAUGACUCAUAGGAAGAUGGAAUAGUAGUUAAGAGCACAAGCCUAAGUUUGGGACUUUGGGUAAAUAAUUUAACCUCUCUGAGCCUCAGGUUUAAUGAUAAAAAUAAUAACAGGGUUUUUAAAAUUGGAUUCGAUGACAUAAUGCAGGUAAAAUACUUUGCAAAGUACCUGACACACAGAGCACUCAAUACAUCUUUAUUUAUAUUAUAAAGAAAGAAAGGAGAGCAAUUUAUAGAAAAAACCACUGACUGUGUUUAUACUUGCAUAGAAAACAGUUGAAGGUUAUAUGCCAAACUUUUACUGAAGUAUGAAGGAAAUUUCACAUUUUAUCCACAUAAUUUUCAAAUCAACCUUUAUUACUAGCCUAUAUCUUCCCUACGUUUUUAAAAAUCAGGGUAAGUUUUAAAAACUUCAUGGCUACUUUUCACUUUUUCCCUUCAAAAAUUUCAUUGACAACCAACAAGUCUUGUUUGAAAGGAAAAUGAGGAGGGCCAACACCCUUAAACUACCUGAGUUAGUGGCCUAUGGCACAAUACUGACGGAGCUAUAUUUAGUCAAAGGGCUGGCCCUUGGCCUUCACAGUGAAAAAUGGAUUCCAUCAAAGGCAGCAAGGCUGCCUGAGCUUGUGCCUGGUCUGGGCAGCACACAUCUCUGAAAAAAAUAAACUUUUUUUUUUAA